rnacentral:lncRNA from 1 species
UUCAGCUGUCUAGGUUGCAAGCAAAAAUAAAACUAAACUUUCGGAGACAUUGUCUAUAGGUACAUUUUGUCUUUUGGAUCUUGUCCAGCUAUACACACUAUACAUACAACGACUUUAACAUGCAGUUGUUUUCUUUCAGAUCUUUUCAGGUCUAGAUGCUAUGAACAUCAGACGCUAUUAUAACCCGAGAGCAUGAACAUGAAUCUUCAUUAGUUGAACAAACUACGCUAACACGUAUAUCAGAAAUAACCGUUAGAGACCACGAGUUUAACCGAAGGAAAGGAAGCGUAUCAAAGUAUGGAACAUUAGGAAAAUUGAAUGAUAUAUCAAGAGGUGUUCGACCAGUUAAGUCACAUUACAGAGUUGACGAGUCCACUAAGACUAUAUUUUGAGCGAACUCACAAAUUAAAAUACAGCGCAACAGUUACGCUGUACACAGUGGAUUGAAAUUGAUAAACUAUAACAAGAAAAUGUUUGGCUGCGAUUAAAUCCGUUUUCUCUGAAAAUGAACAAACAUAA